GAUGAAGAACGUAGCGAAAUGCGAUACGUAGUGUGAAUUGCAGAAUUCAGUGAAUCAUCGAAUCUUUGAACGCACAUUGCACCUCUCGGUAUUCCGGGGGGCAUGCCUGUCCGAGCGUCAUUGCUGCCCUCAAGCACGGCUUGUGUGUUGGGCCUCCGUCCUCCUCCCGGGGGACGGGCCCGAAAGGCAGCGGCGGCACCGCGUCCGGUCCUCGAGCGUAUGGGGCUUCGUCACCCGCUCUUGUAGGCCCGGCCGGCGCUUGCCGACACAUCAAUCUUUUUUCCAGGUUGACCUCGGAUCAGGUAGGGAUACCCGCUGAACUUAAGCAUAUCAAUAAGCGGAGGA
rnacentral:misc_RNA from 1 species